rnacentral:lncRNA from 1 species
AAAGUCCUAUAGCAGUACCAAAGCUUAAAAAAUUAGCCAUACCACUUCACCCAGAGAAUUAACACGAAACAGAUAGACUGAAAAAUUCCUCCUGAGGGAAAGAGUCAAGACCUAGAUAAGCAAACGAAAAUAGUUCAAUGAAGAAAAAUGAAACGCCAUCUACCGCUCUGUAUUAAUAGUACUACUUGCCAUGGUCACUAACAAGCUUUGCAGCAAAUCAAACUUCCUCAUGAAAUAUGUUUAUGGCG